rnacentral:rRNA from 1 species
AUUUGUCUGGUUAAUUCCGAUAACGAACGAGACCUUAACCUGCUAACUAGAUUCUUCUAUUUUAUAGUUGAUAUCUUCUUAGAGGGACUAUGUAAUACAAAUACAUGGAAGUUUGAGGCAAUAACAGGUCAGUGAUGCCCUUAUAUGUCCUGGGCUGCACGCGUGCUACACUGAUGCAUACAACAAGUGCCUAGCCAGACAUGGUAUGGCAAUCUCGAAUACGCAUCGUGAUGGGGAUAGAUCUUUGCAAUUAUAGAUCUUGAACGAGGAAUUCCUAGUAAGUGCAAGUCAUCAUCUUGCAUUGAUUAUGUCCCUGCCCUUUGUACACACCGCCCGUCGCUCCUACCGAUACCGGGUGAUCCGGUGAACCUUUUGGACUCUUUAUGGGAAAGAUAAGUAAACCAUAUCACCUAGAGGAAGGAGAAGUCGUAACAAGGUUUCCGUAGGUGAACCUGCRGAAGGAUCA